AUUGAACGCUGGCGGCAUGCCUUACACAUGCAAGUCGAACGGUAGCGGGCCUUCGGGUGCCGACGAGUGGCGAACGGGUGAGUAAUGCAUCGGAACGUGCCAUUGAGUGGGGGGAUAACGUAGCGAAAGUUACGCUAAUACCGCAUAUUCUGUGAGCAGGAAAGCAGGGGGACCGCAAGGCCUUGCGCUCUUUGAGCGGCCGAUGUCAGAUUAGCUAGUUGGUGAGGUAAAGGCUUACCAAGGCGACGAUCUGUAGCGGGUCUGAGAGGAUGAUCCGCCACACUGGAACUGAGACACGGUCCAGACUCCUACGGGAGGCAGCAGUGGGGAAUUUUGGACAAUGGGGGGCAACCCUGAUCCAGCCAUGCCGCGUGAGUGAAGAAGGCCUUCGGGUUGGUAAACCUACUUUCAGUACCGACGAAGCGCCGAUGAUGGUGGUGACGGUAGGUACGAGAAGAAGCACCGGCCAACUACGUGCCAGCAG
rnacentral:rRNA from 1 species